rnacentral:rRNA from 1 species
AUUGAACGCUGGCGGCAUGCCUUACACAUGCAAGUCGAACGGUGACAGGUUAAGCUGACGAGUGGCGAACGGGUGAGUAAUAUAUCGGAACGUGCCCAAUCGUGGGGGAUAACGCAGCGAAAGUUGUGCUAAUACCGCAUAAGAUCUACGGAUGAAGCGGGGAUCGCAAGACCUCGCGCGAGUGGAGCGGCCGAUAUCAGAUUAGCUAGUUGGUGGGUAAAGCCCACCAAGGCGACGGUCUGUAGCUGGUCUGAGAGGACGACCAGCCACACUGGGACUGAGACACGGCCCAGACUCCUACGGGAGGCAGCAGUGGGGAAUAUUGGACAAUGGGCGCAAGCCUGAUCCAGCCAUGCCGCGUGAGUGAUGAAGGCCUUAGGGUUGUAAAGCUCUUUUAGCAGGGACGAUAAUGACGGUACCUGCAGAAAAGCCCGGCCAACUUCGUGCCAGCAGCCGCGGUAAU